ACUCGGAGGAAAAUCCUUAUUAAAAUGUUGUCCCUCCGUGAAUUCCGUGAAAUCACCGUGACUCAGCAAAGUCACGGUAACUUUGAGGAACCCCUCGGUUUUCGUCGAAAUAAAUGUUCCUCGCAGCACUGCUUGGUGUUAAAUAUUUACAAUUGGGAAAACAGCUGUUUUGUGUUUUGAUUGAUUUUUUUUUUCGUUUGCGUUCCGCAUUUCGUCCGUAAUUCCGUUUUUAGCAACAAAAAAGUGUAAUUCCGGCACGUAGAAAGACCAACCUGGUUCAAAGUGAUCUACAACACCAAGUGAGAGUCCUCCCAGAAGUUAAUCUUCGGUAGUUUUUUCCCGUUGAAAGCUCUCCCAUUGCAAAUGCUCCGAAGAAACCGCCUGAAAAGUCGGCGUGUUAGCUGGCUGAAAAAAAAGAGAAGCGGCCAACGGCCGCUAUUGCUUUUUACGGCUCGGAUGAAAAGAAGUCCCCUUGGAGAAGAGGAAGCUGUUAGCAGCCGCCGCAGAGAAACAGACAGCGGAGCUGGGUCUGGCUGCAGCUGAUUCAAAGUGUGCUGCUCCGAGUGCCUUUUCUAAUCCCUGUAUGUCCACUCUCAGCCAGCGCCACAACCUGCCAUUUUGUAACGGUCGUUGUCCCAUCCAGCACCUACCAUAGCCCGGCAACCUCGAAACAACACAAACCGCCACGAUGGCCGGUUCUUCCGCGACCGGCUGUUCAACGAAGUGCCUUUCCAGUGUGAUCUCCGGCUCGCUCUGAAGAUCAUCCCGCCCCUGGUUGCCGACUCCGGCAAUGGCCACCGGGUCAUCGUUGUGUCGAAUCUUACAGCCAGUGCUGGUAGAACCGAAAAUCUUGCCAAUGAUUUCUCCGAAGACGCCGGCAGAUGCGGAAGCUCACGCACAAGGAGCGAUUCAUCUCGAAGCGGACUCAAUCUUUUGCGAGGCAAUUGAGUUGCAGUUAAGUAAAGAACUGUAAAAAGCUGACCAGAUUCACCGGUGGCGUUGAAAACCACCGGAAAAGGACAAAUAGCCAUCAACCAACGGUGCUUCAUCUGUAUAGAUUAAGAUCGCAGAGUGAUCAGCAGUUUUUACGCCAACAUUCUGGCCGGCGACUACGAACCGACCUCUCUCCAAGCUCUCGCGUAUUCUCUAGGACAAAAGGUCAUCGUUGUACAAACAGCGUCGGCGACACUUGCGUUGUACUACGACUAGCGCAUUAGGAUGUUCAAGGAUCGUUGAGCAUCCUGUACCAGCUGUUGUGCGGCGAGGACGUCGGGCUGUUGAGAGUGAAUCCUUGUGAAUGUUUUGUUUUGAGAUUUCUUAGUUUUUUUAGAAGUUUCUUUCUUGUUUUUUUUUUUUUUGUAACGGUACCCAAUAAAAAGCUGGUUGUUUUCUUGUUCGGAUAAUCCACCGAAGCAAUUUGAAAUCGAUUUUUUGGCAGAUCUUGAAGCUGGUGUCGGUGCGAGUUUCGAGGAUGUUGAAAAGGUCGGCAUCUUAGGGUGAAGGCCACUUCUAGCUUACUUUGGAGGGGUCAACGGGUUUUGAGAGGGCGACGGAGUGUCGUUUUUACGGAAGCUGAAGGCCUUGGGUCCACUCGUGGGAGUUAGCAUGGCAACUACUCCAAUGAAUCCGUCCUCGUCUGACUAUUUUUCAGCAUCAAUCAUCCGUUGGGCUCUUGGAUCACGUACGGUAAUCAGUUCCUCAUACUUUCUGGUCCUUGGUCGGCUGGACAGAUAGUAGCGGGCCUCAGCCUUGAGUUCGCUGCUUGUUGAAGCCACUAUACUACGUACAGCAACUUGCCGAAAUCUAUGCUUCGGAAUCUGGGUUCCUCGGAUGAAUUCGAAACGCAAGAAAAAAAAAAAACACAUUCGCUAGGUGUCAAUAUAACUUUGUUUUAGAUCUCAAUCUAAUUGACAAAAAGGAGCGCUAAUCAAUAAGUGUACAAAUUGUCGAUUCACUGUGUCUCACCCCUCGUACCACACCCUCCAGCGUUCAAACCAUCUGAAGCUUCAUCAACGGACCGCCCGAAUCUCCUUGGCAAAGUCUCCACCGGCGCAUGUCCUCUUUUUUGUUGAAAACUUAGCCCGGCUCCGUUCCUAGUCGUACACCUUGAUGCCCUGCUUUUGCUUGAUUGGACUGCGGCUGCUAUUCAGCAUGCGUCCGAAUCCGGUCACAAAGUUGACGUCACCGGCCAUCGAACUCCUUAAGUCCGUGUACGAACGUUCUGGGCUAUCCAUGGCAUCGCAAUGUCGUUUAGUUUGCUCAGUUCGGCGUUCUUCGGAUGGAAGUCUUCUCCUCCAGUGUCACGUCCAACGGAGAAUCAGCACAAAUCUUCUCGCCGUCUUGCUCGAUGCAGUCGAUCUCUAUCGUGGUGUCGUACAACCGGACUGAUUCUACAAUUGGAAAGAAAUUGUUUAUCAAAAAGUCAAACCAUAUUUUAUCGAUUUAAAGUACAGCGUUUUCUCCUUCUUUUCGACCUCCCUCCCGACCACGCAAUGUGUCGCCGUGCCCACGUACCGGUUAUUGACCAGCGCCACCACAGCAUGACCUAGGACCUUGGAAACUCCGUCGUAGAUCCUCAUCCCACACUCGUUCCG